ensembl:lncRNA
GUCGUAUUUGAUCACCCGAAUCUUAAUUUGUGGAGGAAAAACGUGUUUAAAAUGAACUGAACACAAAAACUAAAGAGUGACGUCACCGUUUCCCAGAAGCACCUGAACGCCCCAAAUCGGCAGAUCCUUCAGUUCUCAUUUUCAUCUCUGAAAGAAAGAACUGGAGGUAAAUACGGAACUAUUCUGUUAAAUUAAACUUUUUAAAAAGACCCAGGUUGAUUAAAAAUGUAAAAUAACUAUUUCUUCCUCACUGGUGUUCGGAGCAGAGCGUUAAUUUGGUAAAGAAAGAGAGCGGAGCGCCUCCCCCCGGAGGAGCCCCACGCGUCAGAAGUCUGAGUCGUCUGUGGCAGAGUUGUCUGGGUUGGCGGAGACCCCGAGUGUCUGAGGGGGGGCUUCGCUCGGAGCCGCCUCUUGCUGCUGCUGCUGCUUCCGGUCGUGGUUGCGGAUGUGCACGAGCAGCCCCCGCUCCGUCAUCUCGUAGAUCCGACACCUGGUGCAGAAGAACGGCGUCACGCCGACGUGCCGGAACUGAUCGGCCAGGUAGGAGGCGAGCGACGUGAAGCCCUUGUUGCAGAUGUCGCAGCGGGGGACCACGCCCGGGUGCUGCUGCUCCAGGUGCCUCCUCAGGCCCCACUUCGACCCCUUGUACCCCUCCUCCGCCGGCGGGCAGAGGAGGCAGGAGAACACGGCGCUCUGGUUGGCGUGCCGCUUGGUGUGGGCGUCCAGCUCCACCUGCGUGCGGACCUUGUGCUUGCAAGUGGCGCAGAAGAAGGUCUUCUUCCCCUCCAGCAGGUGGAGGUGCUUCAGGUGGACGGCCAGGUUCCCAAUGUAGUCCUCCCCGAGCUCCAGCACGCACUUGUUGCUCCCCAGCGGCUCCGCCUCCUGCUGCCGCCUCCUCACCUCCUCCUCCUCCUCCUCUCGGGCCCUCGGCUUCCUCUUCUGCCUCGGCCUCCGGGACAGCUUGGCGGGCGAAGGAGCAGUGGCGUCCACGCCGGGCCGGGUGUUUGAGCGCCGGCUUCCUGGCCGGGGAGCGGGCCGGGUCCACCGACAUGCUGAACUGGUAGCUCUCGCCGUCCUCUUCGGGGGUUUGAAUACUCGAUGACGUAAACGCCGCCGCCGUCCUCCUCCUCACCUCUUCCUCUCCUACUGCCUCCUCUCCCCCCCGGGGGGCACGGAAGAACUCCAUCUCGUAGCACGCCGCGGCGGCUUUCCCCCUCCCGCCGUUGUGAAAUUGCUCCUGUGCGAUGUGCGUGUCGUCGAUCCUCACCACCGUGAUCUGGUCCAUCCCGGUCGCGGGGCCCCAGGCGACGCCU